rnacentral:rRNA from 1 species
AAGUCUGGUGCCAGCAGCCGCGGUAAUUCCAGCUCCAAUAGCGUAUAUUAAAGUUGUUGCAGUUAAAAAGCUCGUAGUUGAAUUUCGGGAUCAAUAUUUCGGUCAUGCCGUUGGUAUGCACUGUUAUCAUUGAUUUCUCACCUUCUAAAGAACCGUAAUGCCAUUAAUUUGGUGUUACGGGGAAUUAGGACUGUUACCUUGAAAAAAUUAGAGUGUUUAAAGCAGGCUCACGCUUGAAUACAUUAGCAUGGAAUAAUGAAAUAGGACAUCCGAUUCUAUUUUGUUGGUUUCUAGGAUCGAUGUAAUGAUUAAUAGGGAUAGUUGGGGGCAUUAGUAUUCAAUUGUCAGAGGUGAAAUUCUUGGAUUUAUUGAAGACUAACUACUGCGAAAGCAUUUGCCAAGGAUGUUUUCAUUAAUCAAGAACGAAAGUUAGGGGAUCGAAGACGAUCAGAUACCGUCGUAGUC